AGCACCUCCUAGGGUCCUGUUUGAGUAACCCGGGUUUGCCUCUUUAUGAUUUAUGCAGGGCUUCACUUCAGCUUAACUAAAUACCAUAUCUCCUUCAGCAGCUUGAGUUUCUGGAAAGGCCCAGACUGUCCACGCUCCUCAGUAGGGUUUGUUUGCAAAGUCCUAGGUUAGCUGGAGCAAGAGGGAGGUAGGAGGACCUCGGAACACACAUCGAAGUCUGCACUCCAAAAGCUGCCAGAGUGUCUGAGAGUUGUUAUCCCGGUCGGAGGAGGCGAGGCCUGGGACUCGAGUGGAGAUUUAUCUUCCCUGGCACAUUGCCCCACUUCCGGAACUACAGGGAGAAGGGACACAGCUGGAUGACCUUGCCCAGUCCUCCUUUGUCUAAGUGGGACCACCUGUCUAAGUUCUUCCCUGUGCAGUGUGAGCGGAGGUGAUGCGUCUUCUGGGCAGAGGAAAGGAAGGUCUACGGCCAUACCACCCUGAACGCAUCCAAUCUCAUCUGAUCUAAGAAAGGAACGUCUGAUCAAGGUGCUUUGAUAGUUGGUGAGGACCUGAAACUACAGACUGUAGACCAAACAGAAGGGAGAAAAGACAUUCAAGAGAGAAGCAUGAAGUUGGUUACAAGGCGUUUUGAAAAGUCUUUCCCCGCUGCCACCAAGAAUACGGAGGUAUCGGAAAAUACAGAACCGUCUGGGUCUUUGGGCCUUUUUCAGAUUCUUCUCCAUGGCUUGAAGUUAUUGUGAACUGAGACGAAGCAGUAUUACCUGGGGGAUUAACAUAAAGUUACUGUGUGGGGUGCCUGGGUGGCUCAGUCAGUUAA